rnacentral:rRNA from 1 species
AGAGAGUAGCUUGCUACUUUGCUGACGAGCGGCGGACGGGUGAGUAAUGCUUGGGAACAUGCCUUGAGGUGGGGGACNACAGUUGGAAACGACUGCUAAUACCGCAUAAUGUCUACGGACCAAAGGGGGCUUCGGCUCUCGCCUUUAGAUUGGCCCAAGUGGGAUUAGCUAGUUGGUGAGGUAAUGGCUCACCAAGGCGACGAUCCCUAGCUGGUUUGAGAGGAUGAUCAGCCACACUGGGACUGAGACACGGCCCAGACUCCUACGGGAGGCAGCAGUGGGGAAUAUUGCACAAUGGGCGCAAGCCUGAUGCAGCCAUGCCGCGUGUGUGAAGAAGGCCUUCGGGUUGUAAAGCACUUUCAGUCAGGAGGAAAGGUUAGUAGUUAAUACCUGCUAGCUGUGACGUUACUGACAGAAGAAGCACCGGCUAACUCCGUGCCAGCAGCCGCGGUAAUACGGAGGGUGCGAGCGUUAAUCGGAAUUACUGGGCGUAAAGCGUACGCAGGCGGUUUGUUAAGCGAGAUGUGAAAGCCCUGGGCUCAACCUGGGAACUGCAUUUCGAACUGGCAAACUAGAGUGUGAUAGAAGGGU